rnacentral:rRNA from 1 species
AGAUCCAUGAUCUAAGAUUAGCCAUGCAUGUCUAAGUAUAAAGGUUACAUACAAUGAAACUGCGAAUGGCUCAUUCAAACAGUUAUAGUUUAUUUGAUAUUCAAACUUAUAUUUCAUAUUAGUUUAAAUGGAUAACCGUAGUAAUUCUAGAGCUAAUACAUGCGUUACGAGGGACUUUACGGAACCUCAGUAUUUAUUAGAUUUCCAAACCAAUAUUCCGCAAGGUCUACUGAGAUGAUUCAUGAUAACUGAUCGAAUUGCUGGGUCUACUAGCAAUAAAUCAUUCAUGUUUCUGCUUCCCAUCAGCUUGAUGGUCGUGUAUUGGACAACCAUGGCAUUCACGGGCUAUCGGGGGAUUAGGGUUCGAUUCCGGAGAGGGAGCCUGAGAAACGGCUACCACUUCUACGGAAGGCAGCAGGCGCGAAAAUUAUCCAAUCCUGACUCAGGGAGGUAGUGAAAGAAAUAAUGAACUAGGAUUUAUCCUGGGAUCACAAUGGGCUUGAUUUGCAAACUUUAUUUAGCGAGGAACAAUUGGAGGGCAAGUCUGGUCCAGCAGCCGCGGUAAUUCCAGCUCCAAUAGUGUAUAUUAAUGUUCCUGCAGUUAUUCGAUGCUCGUAGUUGGAUUUCUGGAGGUAGAGACAGGAGGGCGGCUAUGGCCGCCGCCAGCCUCUUCCUUCAUCCACCUGUUAACGUUGUCCGAGAUUCAUUUCUCGGCUUCGGGCUCAGGUAUUUUACCCUUUCUAUAUAUUCAUUUAUUAUCUUAUUUUUGAGCAAAUUAUAGUGUUUCAGGCAGGCGUGCGCCGGAAUACAUUAGCAUGGAAUAAUCGAACAGGACCGUGAUCUUAUUUGUUGGUUUCGAAGGACACGGAAAUGGUUAAUAGGGAUAGUAAUUUUCAGGGGAGGCAUUAGUAUUUAAUUUCCAGAGGUGAAAUUCUUUGAAAUAUUAAAGACUAACCUUAUGCGAAAGCAUUUAUUUUGCCAAUAAUGUUUUCAUUAAUCAUUGGAACGAAAGUUAAGGGGAUCAAAGAACGAUCGGAUAACCGUCCUAGGUCUUUAACCAUAAACGUUUCCCAACUAAGGAAUCUGAAGGGCAUGACCAUUACCGCCUUCGGAGCCUUUACCAGAAAUCCAAAGUAUAUGGGGUUCUGGGGGGUUAUAUUGGUCCCAAAGGUUGAAAAAUUAUAAGAUAUUGUCGGAAGGGCACCACCAGGGGUGGAGCUUGCGGCUCAAUUUGACUCAACACGGGAAAUCUUACCAGGUCCAGACAUAGCGAGGAUUGCAGAUUGAUAGCUCUUUCUUGAUUCUAUGGGUAUUUUUGGUGGUGCAUGGCCGUUCUUAGUUGGUGGAGUGAUUUGUCUGGUUAAUUCCGUUAAACGAACGAGACCUCAGCCUGCUAACUAGUUACCUGUCUUUCCAUUUACGAGACUUGCUAACUUCUUAGAGGGACGUUGUGUGCAACCACAAGGAAGUUGAGGCAAUAACAGGUCUGUGAUGCCCUUAGAUGUCCUGGGCCGCACGCGUGCUACACUGAUACGUACAACAAGGUAUAUGCAUUCGUGCAUCAAUGCUGCUCCGAAAUAGACACAGCUAAAUCUUCUAAAAUACGUAUCGUGCUGCGGAUAGAUCGUUGAAAUUAUGAAUCUUGAAGGCGGAAUCCCUAGUAAGCGCAAGUCAUCAACUUGCGCUGAUUACGUCCCUGCCCUUUGUACACACCGCCCGUCGCUCCUACCAAUUUCGAGUGGCUCGGUGAACCUCUUUGGACUGUCGAGCAAUCGCGAAAUUAGAGUGAACCUGGUCACUUAGAGGAAGGAGAAGUCGAGAUGUUAAUU